AGUGAACGCUGGCGGUAGGCCUAACACAUGCAAGUCGAACGGCAGCACAGGAGAGCUUGCCCUCUGGGUGGCGAGUGGCGGACGGGUGAGGAAUACAUCGGAAUCUGCCCAGUCGUGGGGGAUAACGUAGGGAAACUUACGCUAAUACCGCAUACGACCUUCGGGUGAAAGAGGGGGAUCGCAAGACCUCUCGCGAUUGGAUGAGCCGAUGUCGGAUUAGCUAGUUGGCGGGGUAAUGGCCCACCAAGGCGACGAUCCGUAGCUGGUCUGAGAGGAUGAUAAGCCACACUGGAACUGAGACACGGUCCAGACUCCUACGGGAGGCAGCAGUGGGGAAUAUUGGACAAUGGGCGCAAGCCUGAUCCAGCCAUACCGCGUGGGUGAAGAAGGCCUUCGGGUUGUAAAGCCCUUUUGUUGGGAAAGAAAUCUUUCAGGCUAAUACCCUGGGAGGAUGACGGUACCCAAAGAAUAAGCACCGGCUAACUUCGUG
rnacentral:rRNA from 1 species